UACGAAGGGGGCUAGCGUUGUUCGGAAUUACUGGGCGUAAAGCGCACGUAGGCGGCUUUGUAAGUUAGAGGUGAAAGCCCCAGGGCUUAACCCUGGAAUUGCCUUUAAGACUGCAUCGCUAGAAUCGUGGAGAGGUGAGUGGAAUUCCGAGUGUAGAGGUGAAAUUCGUAGAUAUUCGGAAGAACACCGGUGGCGAAGGCGACUUACUGGACACAUAUUGACGCUGAGGUGCGAAAGCGUGGGGAGCAAACAGG
rnacentral:rRNA from 1 species